rnacentral:misc_RNA from 1 species
GUGAAUCAUCGAAUUUUUGAACGCAAAUUGCACUUUCUGGUAUUCCGGAAAGUAUGCCUGUUUGAGGGUCAGUUAAAUUAAAAUAGGUGUUGUUGCUACCCGGGGUGGGGUGUGAUGCAUCGGAAUGGAGUCGUUCUGUACCUUGGGGUUAAGGGACGUAAAAUUAUGUUCGAUUUGUGAACGUAUUGAAAUUAUUACUUACGGUCGUAAUGUCACAGAUUAGGGGCGGUCAUAC